AGAAUCAAGCCAUUUCAGGGACUCAUGAUGAUGCUCGUAACUUGAGGUUCCAUUUGUGCUGCACAGAGAAAGUGGUCCGAUGCACCAAAUCUUCUUAACUACUUUUCUGUAUCCUUCAACAUAAGCUGGCUCCAAUUCUUCAAAAGUAUUCACCACCACUCCUUCUGCUGAGAGCUCAGCUUCCUUAAACUUUUCCAGUAACGGUUUCAAAUCUUGUCUUAUUUCUGGUAACUGUGCUUUAGUGAAUUCAAUCUUAUCAGGGAUGUCAGGAACUGAGAAAGAUUCUGAAUCAGAGGUGACACUUUCAAGAACCUUGUAGUGAGACUGAGAAAUGGAGUGAGAACAAAAGAGAGUGAAGCAAGA
rnacentral:lncRNA from 1 species